AGAGUUUGAUCCUGGCUCAGGAUGAACGCUGGCGGCGUGCCUAAUACAUGCAAGUCGAACGAGUUUUGGUCGAUGAACGGUGCUUGCAUCGUGAUUCAACUUAAAACGAGUGGCGGACGGGUGAGUAACACGUGGGUAACCUGCCCUUAAGUGGGGGAUAACAUUUGGAAACAGAUGCUAAUACCGCAUAAAUCCAAGAACCGCAUGGUUCUUGGCUGAAAGAUGGCGUAAGCUAUCGCUUUUGGAUGGACCCGCGGCGUAUUAGCUAGUUGGUGAGGUAACGGCUCACCAAGGCCAUGAUACGUAGCCGAACUGAGAGGUUGAUCGGCCACAUUGGGACUGAGACACGGCCCAAACUCCUACGGGAGGCAGCAGUAGGGAAUCUUCCACAAUGGACGCAAGUCUGAUGGAGCAACGCCGCGUGAGUGAAGAAGGCUUUCGGGUCGUAAAACUCUGUUGUUGGAGAAGAAUGGUCGGCAGAGUAACUGUUGUCGGCGUGACGGUAUCCAACCAGAAAGCCACGGCUAACUACGUGCCAGCAGCCGCGGUAAUACGUAGGUGGCAAGCGUUAUCCGGAUUUAUUGGGCGUAAAGCGAGCGCAGGCGGUUUUUUAAGUCUGAUGUGAAAGCCCUCGGCUUAACCGAGGAAGCGCAUCGGAAACUGGGAAACUUGAGUGCAGAAGAGGACAGUGGAACUCCAUGUGUAGCGGUGAAAUGCGUAGAUAUAUGGAAGAACACCAGUGGCGAAGGCGGCUGUCUGGUCUGUAACUGACGCUGAGGCUCGAAAGCAUGGGUAGCGAACAGGAUUAGAUACCCUGGUAGUCCAUGCCGUAAACGAUGAAUGCUAGGUGUUGGAGGGUUUCCGCCCUUCAGUGCCGCAGCUAACGCAUUAAGCAUUCCGCCUGGGGAGUACGACCGCAAGGUUGAAACUCAAAGGAAUUGACGGGGGCCCGCACAAGCGGUGGAGCAUGUGGUUUAAUUCGAAGCAACGCGAAGAACCUUACCAGGUCUUGACAUCUUUUGAUCACCUGAGAGAUCAGGUUUCCCCUUCGGGGC
rnacentral:rRNA from 1 species